AGUGAACGCUGGCGGUAGGCCUAACACAUGCAAGUCGAACGGCAGCACAGUAAGAGCUUGCUCUUACGGGUGGCGAGUGGCGGACGGGUGAGGAAUACAUCGGAAUCUACUUUUUCGUGGGGGAUAACGUAGGGAAACUUACGCUAAUACCGCAUACGACCUACGGGUGAAAGCAGGGGAUCUUCGGACCUUGCGCGAUUGAAUGAGCCGAUGUCGGAUUAGCUAGUUGGCGGGGUAAAGGCCCACCAAGGCGACGAUCCGUAGCUGGUCUGAGAGGAUGAGCAGCCACACUGGAAGUGAGACACGGUCCAGACUCCUACGGGAGGCAGCAGUGGGGAAUAUUGGACAAAGGGCGCAAGCCUGAUCCAGCCAUACCGCGUGGGUGAAGAAGGCCUUCGGGUUGUAAAGCCCUUUUGUUGGGAAAGAAAAGCAGCAGGUUAAUACCCCGCUGUUCUGACGGUACCCAAAGAAUAAGCACCGGCUAACUUCGUG
rnacentral:rRNA from 1 species